GCCUCAUCUCCUGCCUCUGGUGGCAGCAGGGGCCGGCUGUGGGAGCCUUGACUGCCGGACCGUGGAACCCAGGCUCAGAGCCUCGGGCAGGCUUUAGGCUGGGGAAUGACGGAUCAGAUUUGCGUGUACGAAGAUGCUUUGGAAGAUAAACUAGAGAUGACUCAGAGGGAAGGAGGCUGCUGUGGACUGAGUUGCGCCCCCAUUUGACGGUGGUAUUUGGAGAAAGAGGUGAUCAGGUCAGACGAGCUCAGGAGUGCGGGAUCCCCAGGACGGCAUUAGUGCCUUUGUAAAAGAGACAUCACAGAGAUUGCUUCCUCUCUCCCCUCCACGUGUGGACACAGCACGAGAAGGUGGCGUCUGUAAGCCAGGAAGAGGGCUCACCAGGAACCUGACCACGCCGGCCCCCGGACCACAGACCUCCAGCUUCCAGAACGGUGCAGAGUAAACUCCUGGGUUUAAGCCACCCGUCUGUGGGAUUUAAGGGGCCCCCAGCAGACUAAUGCGGAGGCUGAUUGCAGAGUGACCAUGGGGGCCGUGGCCGACGUCCAGGGAGAGGAGGGAGGGGUCUGUGCCUCGCCAGGCCCUGUGCAUUGGCCCCAUCCCACCGGGAUCUUCCCAGGGCGGCCCAGCACGGCAACUGGCUCACCCAUCUGAACCUGUGAUAACAGGUGCCGACAACGCCACGAAUCCUCACUCUGGACACAAGUCAGGUGACCCCGUCAUCCAGGCGAGCUCCUGGGGUGGGUGGGAAGGCAAGCUGUGAAGUGCAGGCGUGGCUCACACGGCCCAGCGCAGGGGCCCGAGGUGGGUGUUCUGUGCUGACUGCAGCCAGGAAGGCAGAGCACGUGGGCAGAGCCGGCCCCACCCACAGCCUCGGGGCCAGGACAAGCGUCCACGUGGAGGCCCACCGUCCACACGCCCAAUUAGGCCGAGUGAGUCAUCAGGGUGUUACCUUCCAACAGGCUGCUAAAGGAAACACGUUCUCUUCUCCAGCCUCAACAAAGACCCUUCAGAACCUCGUGGAAGGCCGGCUCCCCGGUCAGGAUGCUCAGGCUGCAAGGAAGACCAUCAGGCACUGGGAGAAGGGACGGAGGGCAGCUGGGCCCAGACUCCAGCCCCCCAACCUGCCCACCCCAGGCCCGUCCUACGCUGUGAGGACUUUGUGCCUGUGUGUGCAGACAUCCCAAACUGCAUGUCCAAGCUAUGUCCGUCUUCUCAAAACACGGCCCAUGGACACUUUUCGGUCUCAGGGACACACACUCCUGCAGGCUGGUCUGCCCUCAGUCAGGCCCAGGGAUACAUGCCUGCAGGCUGGUCUGCCCUCCAGAAGACAGACCCAGCUCUAAACCCACAUGGGCCACGGGCUAGGCUUGGGGACAUUUGGUGGGGAAUGCCAGGUCCGAGGUACCUGGAACAUGGCCUAAAACCAAGUGUGAGCUUCAGCAUUGAUUCGCUCAAUGAUGCUACGGUUGGAGAUUUGCUGACAGAUCUGUUGGGAAGAAGAGGCCAUCAUUCUAGAAGCUUCCAGGCCACUGGCUGGCGCUAUCUUCACCCGGUGCCUCUGGAGGUGGUCGGUCAGCACAGGCUAGCUUAUGCCAUGGUAACAAGAGCAUCUCCGACUGCCAGGAGUUUGUCUCUCACUGACACUGUGCCCACCGAGGGUUGACGGGGGUCUCCUCACUGUGGUCACCCAGGGGCCCUUCCUGACAGGCAGCCCCAUCUCCGAUGCUGCCGGCCACCGUGGGAGAGGGAGAGUCUGGGAUCCGAGUGCCUGGGGAGGGGGGCGGGUCACAGAGAAGUUCCAUGAGCAGCGCUGCUGACCACCCAGAGGAUGCUUUUCAGGGUGUGGUCCAUCUGGUGAGGGUUAAGUGACCUCCGGGUGGAGCACGCCCCAAGGAAGGACGCGUGGAAACCACAAAAGGCACGUUGCACUGAAAGGGAGGGAGAGAGUGGCGCUGCCACCAGCUUCUGUGCCCAGGACCCUCCAGAGGUCUGCUGGGGUCCGCAGCACAUGGGCACGCGCCGUCCACCUUGGCUGGCUGGAGAGCAGGGAGUGGGGUGACCGAGACACCUAACCCCACAACACGGAGACAGCAAGUCUGCUCUGUUCCAACAAAUAGAAGGGACUCACAUUCGGUUAAGCCGGGUGACCGAGAGCAGCCAGGAAACACUCCGAGUUACCUGAUUCCCAGAAGAACAUGUGAAAAGUGGCUCGGCCAAAUCAGUGGGAGCCUAGACUGCACGUGUCUGAGGCCUGGUCACUCACGGUGUCGCCGUGCACCCCGAGGCCCCAUCCACAGGAAGAACCAGCCCUUUGGCUCCCGCCUCCUCGAUGCUGACGGGCAAGGCCACCCUCCGCUCUGGCUACAGACCCUCUCUUCCUCACGGCCCGGCCUUGGCUUCCUCUCCAUCUUCUUUUCUUUGCUAAUGUGCCAGGAGACCAUCAUCUGGCCCAUGAUAGGUGCUCCAUUAUUAUCUGUCCAGAUGAAUGGAUCAAGAGUCGGAUACUGGAGACCUGCUGGCAGUGGGGCUGAGACCUGGCUGGAGGGGGAAGGUCCUGCCUGGAUCCUGUCCUGCAGCUUGCUCCCCCACCCUACCCUACUCCCACAGUCCCAGGGGGCUGACCUCUCCUUGCUCCCCGAUCCCUGGCAUGCACUGUGAGGAGCCUAACAGGAAGGAGUGAGGCAGGAAGGCAAAGUUCGGACACCCAGCCUCAGAGGCCAGCUUGGGGCCUCCCUCCCUCUCAUCCCCACCAGCCACCAACCCUUCCCACUGCAACUCAUGCCUGUGCUCUGGCUGCAAGGCCUGCCAAGGCUGCCCUGCACCGCAGCCCCUUCGCCUCCCGCCUGGGCCCUGCUGGGAGGUGGGGGUGAGGUGCCAGGCAUUUCGGCUCAAGCUGGGCAGAGGCCAGGAGGCCCGGCCGCUUGGCACACCAGGAUGCCCGGAUGGUGGUGGAGCCUGGGACGGCAUCAAGGCUGAUGCCACCUCCCCCCCAGUCAGGGCCAGCCCCAGCUCUUCUCUGCCUUGGCGGCUGAGCAAGUGGAGGCCUCGGGCUCCAGCAGGGGGGUGGGGAGGGCAGGACGGCAGCCUCCCCAUCACACUCUCCCUGCUCACCACCUGCUGGCAGUCUGGACGUCCUGAAAAGCCCCUCUGACAUGUCACUCCCUGCUCAGCCUUCAACGACACCCGGCACCCACAGGACACAUCCCCUGUGGCCGCAGAGCCUGCCUCCCUUCCGGACAGGCCCAGAGGCCCCGCCAAGGGGGGCAGACGUGCCUGUACAGUCUCUCCACGCCUGAGGUCACCACUCCAGCGACC
rnacentral:lncRNA from 1 species